AGCUCCGAGCUACGCGUUCAUCAUCGCACACACUGCAGAACGACUCCUACGUGAAACUCACCAAAAGCGUUCGUCGGCUCUUUAACGAAUUGCUCUUUUAAAUAAAACACUGACCAGCGCUGAGUAAAGUAUGGCGUGUCACGUGACAGCCGCUGUUCGCGGUGUUUGGCGAGAGCGGGAAAGAAUUUAAACAGAAUUUAACGGUCAUUCUUUGAGUUAUGAAGUGAACCAGCAAGACGGUCGCUCAUCUCGUCUGACAGUGCAGAAAAAUAAAUGGGAUUUCAGUGCUUUAGUGGAGGGGAACUUGUCAUGUGUUUCGUUCUUUCUGUGUUGCUUCAGAAGACACGGAACACCAGACCCACUUUCAUCUGAACAUCUGAAAAAGACGAAUGGCACCAGAUAUCUGUGGUGUUCAGAUCUGAUCUGAGAGAUCUUGGGAAACGGUGGUUUUUCCUGAACAGGCAGUGCUGACCUCACUGGACUGAGACGCUCCUGAAGCGCAGAGAUCUUUGGCCC